rnacentral:rRNA from 1 species
GAUGAACGCUGGCGGCGUGCCUAAUACAUGCAAGUCGAGCGAAGCGGGGACGGGUGAGUAACACGUGUAUAACCUCCUCUAAAACUGGGAUAACUUCGGGAAACCGGAGCUCAACCGGAUACUUAUAGUUGGAUCCGGGCUGCAUUAGCUAGUUGGUAAGUGAACGGCUUACCAAGGCAACGAUGCAUAGCCGACCUGAGAGGGUGAUCGGCCAAACUGGAACGGAGACACGGCCAAGACUCCUACGGGAGGAAGCAGUAGGUAACCUUCCGAAAGGGGCGAAAGCCUGACGGAGCAACGCCGCGUGAGUGAUGAAGGUCUUCGGAUCGUAAACCUUGGUAAUUAGGGAAGCGGUACCUAACCAGAAAGCCACGGCUAACUACGUGCCAGCAGCCGCGGUAAUAC